GUGACAGACCGAGCAUAGGGUGGAUUUGUGAGCUGCCAUGGCAUGGGCACUCAAUGCCUGCCGCAAAACUAAGCAUACCGGGUACCUUAUGUCCCUGCCCUUUGUACCUGCUUUACGCGAUUAACACGGUGAUCCGGUGCAGCACGCGCUGCAUGAUUUCCGCGCAGAAGUACUAUUCCGCCAUUUGAUGAAGGCGGUUAUUUACAGUAAUAAACCGCUGCCGGAGUUGGCAAAAAUGGCGGCGGACACCUUUGGUCGCGUGCCGAACAAAGAGAGCAAAAAACCGGAAAUCACCGUGCCGGUAGUCACCGACGCGCAAAAGGGCAUUAUCAUUCAUUACGUCCCUGCCCCUUUGUACGAGUUUGA
rnacentral:rRNA from 1 species